rnacentral:rRNA from 1 species
UAAGACGAACCGAGCGAACGUUAUUCGGAAUCACUGGGCUUAAAGGGCGCGUAGGCGGGCCGUCUAGUCCGGGGUGAAAGCCUCCAGCUCAACUGGAGAAGUGCCUCGGAUACUGGCGGCCUCGAGGGAGGUAGGGGCGUGCGGAACUUCCGGUGGAGCGGUGAAAUGCGUAGAUAUCGGAAGGAACACCAGUGGCGAAGGCGGCGCGCUGGACCUCUUCUGACGCUGAGGCGCGAAAGCCAGGGGAGCGAACGGGAUUAGAUACCCCGGUAGUCCUGGCCCUAAACGAUGGGCACUAGGUUGCGGACUUACAUGGGUUCGCAGCCGAAGCAAAAGUGUUAAGUGCCCCGCCUGGGGAGUAUGGUCGCAAGGCUG